rnacentral:rRNA from 1 species
AGUGAACGCUGGCGGUAGGCCUAACACAUGCAAGUCGAACGGCAGCACAGUAAGAGCUUGCUCUUACGGGUGGCGAGUGGCGGACGGGUGAGGAAUACAUCGGAAUCUACUUUUUCGUGGGGGAUAACGUAGGGAAACUUACGCUAAUACCGCAUACGACCUACGGGUGAAAACAGGGGAUCUUCGGACCUUGCGCGAUUGAAUGAGCCGAUGUCGGAUUAGCUAGUUGGCGGGGUAAAGGCCCACCAGGGCGACGAUCCGUAGCUGGUCUGAGAGGAUGAUCAGCCACACUGGAACUGAGACACGGUCCAGACUCCUACGGGAGGCAGCAGUGGGGAAUAUUGGACAAUGGGCGCAAGCCUGAUCCAGCCAUACCGCGUGGGUGAAGAAGGCCUUCGGGUUGUAAAGCCCUUUUGUUGGGAAAGAAAAGCAGCAGGUUAAUACCCCGCUGUUCUGACGGUACCCAAAGAAUAAGCACCGGCUAACUUCGUG